rnacentral:rRNA from 1 species
UACGUAGGGUCCAAGCGUUAUCCGGAAUCACUGGGCGUAAAGCGUGCGUAGGCGGUUUGUUAAGUGAGAUGUGAAAUCGUGUGGCUCAACCAUAUCGUUGUGUCUCAUACUGGCAAACUAGAGGAUAGCAGAGGCAAGUGGAAUUACGAGUGUAGCAGUGAAAUGCGUAGAGAUUCGUAGGAACACCAAUGGCGAAGGCAGCUUGCUGGGCUAUUUCUGACGCUCAGGCACGAAAGCGUGGGGGAGCGAACAGG